rnacentral:tRNA from 1 species
GCGCCCGUAGCUCAGUUUGGAUAGAGCGGUACCCUCCUAAGGUAAAGGCCGGGAGUUCGAAUCUCCUCGGGCGCG